GUUUUUUUUUUGUAUCACCUUUAAGGAACUGGUUCAAUCAAUCCUGUGCCCUUCGGGGAAACAAUAGUUCACUCAUCUCUAACCCCAAAAAUCAGUAAUCACCUUGCCUAAGAGCACUGUUUGCUUCCCAAAGUUCACAACUCUAAAUGUACGAACAUCAAGAGUGUCUUCUUAUCCAAGAGAUUCAAAGGAAGGUUAUCCAUAGUCAUUUUAUUUACUACCGAUAGUCAGAUUGACCAGCUUUGACUUAACAUAAUCUUAGGAGGAACAUAUUUCUUGACUUGCUUCUUUGGUCGUUUUUAUUGAGAUUUAUCUUUGCAUUUUUUUCUUUGGCCAUAAUCUCCUCAUCUGUAAUUUAAUUAGAGUCAGUAAGAGAAAAAAAUUUCUUCAACAUCAUUUGUAGAGGAACAUGUUCUUCCAACCUAUUCCCCAUACAUAGUACUAUCAGAUGCAACACCAACUAUAAUAAUUUUUUACAUCAACCCUAAAUCUCAGUUUAUAUGGAUCCCAAUAGAAGAACUAGGUUCGAUAGAGGGGUCUCCCAUUGAUUCCCCCGCCAGCUAGAAGAGAAAUAGGAUAUAGGUGAGCAUAUUAGGCUCUUUUUUUUCAUAUUUAUAUUGCAAUUCGACUGAUCUAUUAUUAUUUUUUUAAUUCCAUUUAAUGAUAAUUUGAGAGAGUUCAUAUAAGAUUACAAAUUUAAGUCUUAAACUAUGGACUCACUAGAUGCACCCAAGUUGAGCCUAACAACUGAAUUUUGUUCGACUAUAGGGUCCCCAAAAUAGUCCCCCUCACAAGGUACAUCCUCAAAAACUUCCUAAGUAAUUUUAGACACACCCAAUACAGAUUCCCCCUAAGAACCAGCACAACCUACUUUCUACACCACAACCUAUAUUUUAUAAGGAACCAAAGUAGAGGUGUCGUCCACCGAAGUCAUCUCAUCCAAAACAUUAUAUAGACCAUCACACUUAGAAUCUCCAAGAAUGUCAUUAAGAAACAUAAAUUGUAAUUAAUCAAGCAUAGACAUGUUUCUUGAAGAACACUUUAUUCCACAAUUUUAGAAAAAGAGGAUUUCUUGGUUAAGAAGUUUAUGGAAGAGAAGGGUGUGAGUUGUAGAGACACACUAGGAUAAGGCUUUAAAUAGGCUUUAUAAGAAAAUGUUUGUUUAGUAGUAUUGAGGACAUGAAUAUAUCUUUUGGGACAAGUGGAGGGAACAGGUACAUGUGCAUUGAUUUUAUAUUUAAUUAUGAAUAAUUGUAGUGCACAUACCUUAGAUCUCUGGAAAAUUGCUGAAUUUUUGCUCCAAUUUUACUAAGCCUCUCUCCUGUGACAGAUGCAAAUACAAUGUUAUAGUGCAUGAGUAGCUUGGCUUUAAAAGUGUUAUAGAAACAUACAACUAAAUGUACAAGACUGAGCAUAAAAUUCAUGAUUAGAAGGAAUUAUGCGCAAUGUUCAUUAGGCACUGAGGGAUACUCAUGUGAUUUUAAUUAUCCCCAAGUUCCAACAUGUUCCUUUAAAAGUGUUUCUUUAGUCUUACCUACUUUUCCAACUUCUUUGAUUUGACCAAAAAGAAUUUUCACCACAAAAACUACUAUUCCAUCCUUUUUUUCUGCAGGUGAGAGGAAUUUCUGCUAGUUUCAAUCAUGUGUCUCGAGCAACAGGUGUUCAUAUAGAAUGUUGCUUGCUUCCUCUCACUUUUCCUGCAAAUUCAAAGGUUAGAUUUAGGAACCCAAACUAGCUUGGGUCUUUUAUAUUGAUAAAAAGGAUGAAUAAGAUCUCUAUUGAUCCAUAUUGGUAAAACAUUUUAAAAAAAUUUCUUUUGCCCCAACCUGUUCCUUUGACAUGAUUCAUUUCUUUUAACAUGGUUGAUUUUUCUAUUUGAGACAACUUUGAAGUUUUUAUUCAUGUGAGUUAUAACUAUUGGGCAGGUACCCCUUGAAUGACCAAUACUACCACAAUGUGUGCACAAAGAAGAGGUUUUCUUAGGGACUUCUUUAACAAAACCUAUUCCAGCUUUAGUGUUAUGUGUUCUAUUACUGAGCUGAGUCACAAUCAUUGAGGACAAAGUCCAUUUGUUUGCCCUCUCAAGCUUAUACUUAGUUCUAGCCAGGUCAAGAUUUAUUCUUCUAGAUUUUUCCCUUUCAGAAAAUAGUUCAAUCUUUUAACCUCUUUAGAUCUUGGUCACAUCUGAUUUGGUCACCACUAAUUUUUUCUUUCCCAUUCCCAGUAACACUUUGUUUCAAAAUUUCAGAUUUGAGAGCCAAAAGUGCAUGAAUCAAGUUGUUGUACCUGUUCCUUUAGGAAUUGAUUUUCUUUCUUAAGAUCAGAAUUAAUCUUUUCAAGAUCAAUAUAUUCAAAUUUUAAACUGGUCAAGGAAGUCAAUAACUGAUCUUUAUUUUCAUUCAACUCUUGAAAAUUAUCUAUGAGAGUUAGAAUAAGGGAAAAUAUUUUUUUCUUAGAAAAACAUUCUAGUUUAUUUUGAAGGUCAAGAAGAUUUGCCUCCCUUUGAUCAAUGUCUCAUUUAGAGUCCUCCAUGGCCAUCAAAGCAACAUCUUCUGUAUCAUCUUUAAUUGAGUUGUUUGAACAUGUUCCCCAAGCAGCAUACAUAGCUUCCACCUUUCUUGAGGAACUUUCUGAGGUUUUUUGUUGAUCACGGCUACGUCCUCAUCAUCCAGAUCAGAUUCAUCACUCUCAGUUUCCUUGAAAGAAAAAAUCAUAGCUUUGCUUCUAUUACUCAUUUUUGUGUUAUCAACAUUCAUAUCGUAAGUCUUUAGAUUUCCUACAAGUUCAUCCAAGCUCAUGGUUGUCAAAUCCUUUGCUUCUCUAAUUGCAGUGACCUUGAUCUCCCACGACUAGGUAGAGUCCUCAACACUUUAUCAACCUGUUCCUCAGUAGUAUAUAUUUUUCCCAAAGACACCAGUUCAUUCACAAUAGUAGUGAAUCUAGUAAUCAUAUCUUGAAGUGAUUCACCACUAUCCAUCUUAAAUGCUUCAUAUUCAGUGGAUAGUCUUGCAAUUCUAAAUUUUCUUACUUAGGGAGUUCUUUCAUGUGCAUUGACUAUAGUGUCCCAAAUUUGUUUCGCUGUAGUACAACUAGAGAUACGAUUGAACUCGUCAGGUCCAAGUCCACAUACACGGAUACACUUAGCUUUAGCAUUCUUUGCGAGCAUUCUAUAAUCAACUUCUUCAUAUUGAGCCUUGGGCUUUGGAAUGACUUUCCCUUCAUCAUCCUUCAUCAUAGGAAUAAGAGGACCAUCCGUAACUCUCAUCCAUAAUUCAUUGUCAUGGGCUUGUAGAAAAUCCUCCAUUCUCGCCUUCCACCAUGCGUAGUACUGUCCAUUGAAUAGUGGUGGUAUAUUGAUGUGUUGACCUUCAUCGUGUCCAAGAGGAGGUGCAUAAUUCAUAGUGAUCUUAUCUUGAGUUAUUAGACUCUACAAAGAUAACCCGCUCUGAUACCAAUUGUUGGAAUACUGAUCCCCAGAUUUGCCUAAGGAACAAGUAUAUUAUAUAUGUUCCUUUGCAGAUAACAUCAGUUACAUUAUGUAAAGCAAAUAAAAUAAUAACACAAUAUUUUAUUGCGGAAAACCCUGACUCAUAAAGGGUAAAAACUACGACCUACACCUCAGUAGGAUUUAACUCCACUUCAUUAAACUCUGAAGCCUCAACAAAAGAUUACAAACUUAUGUAACCUAAGGAAUUAUAACUAUAAUUCCUAGAUGCCAACAACCAACUAGAUCGUCGACCCCGCUUCAAGUUAUGAAUUCAAAUUACAACUCUUGCAAUCCUAGGAACUAACUCUAAUUCCUAAACUCCAAACACAAACCCCCCAAGGUUUAUGUUCCGAAGUCUUUAAGUUUCCCUAACUUGAAGACUCUAUUCCUACUCCAGUUUAUACUUCACUGGAUCUAGAAAGAAUUAAAGAUACAACUCGAUAUAAACUCAAUACACGCAAACUUUACUUAAGAACUAUAAAACAUAAGACUAUGAAUCAGUUCUUCAAUUCUUGUUUCCGUGCAUUGGCUACACUUCGUAAUCAAAAAUCACUCAAAUAUGACCUCCCUCUAUUUGAUUGUAUUCUUCUUGUAACUCUCUGUUUAAGUGCACAAUUUUCUCUGACGAAAAUAUUUCCCUAUUUAUAGAUUUGAACUCCGCACAGUCUUCCUUCUUCAAGUUGAACUCGACUAUCUUCAUUGUUCUCCUUAUUUGACUUGAACUUGAUUUCCUCAUCUGAUCAUGCUUCCUACUUCAUUCCAGAUUUGAAACCACAUUCACGUCAUUAUACUUCCUUCUUUGCUUAUGCUCCUAUUUCACAAGGAUUUAUUUAUGAAAGGAAACCUUUUAGCACUGGUUUCUUGUCGAAAAAGCAACUCUUUCACCGAUUUAUAACUUCUAAUUCACGUGGUUGACGUUCUCCUUAUCCCAGUCGGAUUUGGUCUGAAAGGAACAUCUCGGCGCAACCGGUUCCUUUCAUCUGUUCCUCUAUUUGUCAAUUAUCAAAAUCUUUCUCGAUCUAACAAAUUGAUCUAACUUUUGUUUAUCUUUCUUUCCUUAUCCCAAUAGAAAGAAAUAAUGCACUGAGAUAGAAUAACAACAAUGAUGCAAGGAAAUGGAAUCAUAACGAUGAUGUAGGAAGUUGGAACAACAACAAUAAUGCUGGGAAAUGGAACAAUAACAACGGAGAAGAUAAUGAUAUAUGCUGGGAGAUGGAACAAUGACAAUACUUGUCGAUAAUGUAAGGAUUUUGGGCACAUGAAGCGAAAUUGUAAAAAAUUAUAGAUUCACAACCAACAGAUUUGGACUGAUACUAUUUCUGCCACUUCUAAUUCACCCUCAACUGUUACAAUCUCUGCCGAUGAGUAUGCCAAACUUACAAAGUAUGACGAAUCAAUGAAUCAAAUUACUCCAGCCGCUGCCCUUACUGAGUUAGGUAACAAAUGUAUCUUUUCCUUCUCAAGCAACUGGAUCAUUGAUUCGAGUGCUAUAGAUUACAUAACAGAUAAUCCCAAUUUUUUUUCUAAAUUCCGAUCACAUUAAGCACCAUCCUCUGUUACCAUAACUUACAGAUCUAGUUAUACCAUUGAGGGAUUUGGGACCGUUUACCCCACUUCAUCUAUUACUUUGUUCUCUGUGCUAGGCUUACCUAGUCUUGCCUUUAAUCUAAUUUAUGUUAGUAAGAUUACCAAAUACCUACAAUGUUUUGUCUCUUUAUCUCCCGAUUAUUGUCUUUUUCAAGAUCUUAUGACAGAGAAGAUUAUUGGUAAAGGACAUGUAUCAGACGGUCUCUACAUUCUUGAUGAAUGGAUGCCCCGUUAGUGUCACGACCCGAUCCUACACCCUGUACAUGGCCGGCACUCAAGAACCAUUUCUGGUCCCCAAGCGAACCCUCAUCAUGGAUGAAUACAAGGGGAAAACUAACUCAAGUAUACAAAAGCUUAAAAUUGAAUUAAAUUCAAUAAACUCAACUUUAAAAAUAAUCUGAACAAUACUCAAUAGAUAACUCAGAGUUUGUAAAAAAAACUCAAAGAAGAUAAAUAUUGAAAAUUACUCAACUUUGUCUAUCUAUGAAGCCUCUACUAUUACAGAAGGAUGUCGGGACAAAACCCAUGACAUCUCAAAACUACUAACUGUAAGAUAAAGGUGAAGUCCUCCGAAAUAUAAUAAGGCUCACCAAAGAUUACUGAACUGCAAGUGGUAUCAACGAAGCUUCUAUUGAUGACCCUGAAUACUUGUAUCUGCAUUAUAAAAUAUGCAGGCCAAAUAAAGUAAGUACAUGGAAUGUACGAGCAUGUAAGGGGAACUCUAAAUCAUAAACAUAUGCUUGAACUGAUGGAAAAGAAACAUACUUACCUCUUCUCAACUCACUCAACUCAACUCAACUCAAAGAUACAUAGUUCAACUCAACUCGGAGAAAAUAGUUCAACUCAACUCAGAGAAAAAAGAGCUUAACCCAAUGAUAAGAUAUUCAACUCAGUAAAAUAAGGCUCAACUCGAUAAUAAGAUACUAGUCUCUGUGAAAAAAGGCUUAACCCCAAUAAUGAGAUGCUCGACUCUGUAUACUCAACUCAAUAUAAAGCAAUAAUAAAAGAUGCAAUAUAUGGAAAGAUUUUAAAACAAUAGAUAACAACUCAAUGUAUUAAAGACUACAAUAAUAACUCAGUUUGUAUAUAAAAAUACAAUAUAACUCUGUGUGGGAAAUUUUCUAACCGACAAUCAUCACUAUGAGCUAUGUGAUGAUACAAGAGCCUACGCUACAAGAACUGUCCUAUACUUUGCCAGCAUAUAUAACCUACUACUAAGUGGAUACACUAGUCUAUCCUAAAAAACAUUAAGGAAUAAUCUAAAAAGUAUGACCCUUUAAUUUCUACCCACGUUGGCUACAUGGUUUAUGAGGACUUUGAGUUAUCUGAACUCGUUCCCAUAUCGGUGCUCAAUACUACUCCCAAAAUAUAACUAGCUCAUAUGUUUAAAAACAUAACUUUUUCUGUGGUUUGAGAUUUUUACUCAAAAAUCUUUCUCUGAAAAGAGAUGGUACUCAAAAUUGCUCAAAACUCUUUUGGAAAUCAGUGUUUCCUCUCAUCUUAGAUGUGGAAAUAUUUACUCUUGGGAAUACUUAGUUCCCAUAAAUCAUUUUAAAGAAAAUGAAAUCAACUCUAAUCUUUCUCAAACUCAAUUGUUCAAGUCUUAAAACAAGUUUAGAAAAAAUUGUAAAAGACUUCUCAAAAUAGGGUUCAUGCCGAAUUAUGGACGUGAACAACUCAAUUCAAGGUGUUGACACCCAAUUUUGGCCCUUCACAAUAUAAAUUAAUCAUUGAGCUUCUUCAAUUUCAAGCGAUUUAAAAUAAUUAGUUUUAGAAAUUUACAAAAAUAAUAAUAAUAAUAAUAAUAAUAAUAAUAAUAAUAAUAAUAAUAAUAAUAAUAAUAAUAAUAAUAAUAAUAAUAAUAAUAAUAAUAAUAAUAAUAAUAAUAAUAAUAAUAAUAAUAAUAAUAAUAAUAAUAAUAAUAAUAAUAAUAAUAAUAAUAAUAAUAAUAAUAAUAAUAAUAAUAAUAAUAAUAAUAAUAAUAAUAAUAAUAAUAAUAAUAAUAAUAAUAAUAAUAAUAAUAAUAAUAAUAAUAAUAAUAAUAAUAAUAAUAAUAAUAAUAAUAAUAAUAAUAAUAGUUUGCAGGUUAUUUUUAAAUGUUUUGUCGCCUUUUUAUAAUUUUUGAAUAAUAUACAUGUUUACAUAAUUAAGUAUAUAGUUGGAAUAUUUUAUGAAUAUUUGAAAAUCGUCUCCAAAAGAUUUUAUUUCUUACUUAAAUAUUUUAACUUAAUCCAUGAGUUAAUAUAUAAGUUAGGUUUAUAUUUUGAGUUAAUUAGUUUGUAAUAAAAUUAUUAUUAUAUUUCGUUAAGAUUAAGAAGCUCGUUAAUUAAUUAAAUUAAUUCAUUCUAUUUUAAUUUUAGCCGAAUUCGCUGAAUCAACUCAAUUUGGCUACUUUUCAAAUUUUAAUGGGCUACAAUUACAAUACAUUUGGCCAAUUCCAAAACUCCAAACUUCAAUCUUCAGCUCACCUUUCAACCAAAUUGGGCUGAUUUCAUUGACCCAAUUAACAACCCAUACAUUCUUUUUAAUACCAAGCCCAAAACCCUUCAAUACAAAGAAGCCCAUCAACCCUCCAAGACUCUUAACAAAAAUAUCCAACAAUACAAUACAUACAGCCACAAUACAUACCAAACCGACCCUACCCGCCCCUGCGUCUUCUUCUCCUUUUACAAAACCAAACCGACUUCACACCAAGAAUCCCAGAAAUCCAGCGUCCAGUCGCAUCAAUCCGGCAAAUCCGGAGAAAAAUUGUCGUCCUCCUCGCUUGCAACGCCCAACUACCCUCACGUCCCCUUUUCAGGGAUUUCUGAAUCUCUCCACGGUUGCUUCGAAAAGAGCAAUUCAAAAUUCAAAUUACAAUUGUUUCCCACUAAUUUCCGUCUAUAUAUUCAUCUCUUUGGGUCACAAGAAGGGAGGAGGAAAAAAAAUAAAAUAUUAAGAGUUGGCUAAGUGUUGAGAGGAAGAAAUAUACCUAAACCAAAAAUCUUUAAAGUUGAUCGGAUCAGUUUCGCUCGUUUUUGUCUUGUUCAUCCGAGUUUUUUCGGAGUCGUGUUUCGGUGGAAGAAUCGCUGCCUUCCUUUGCUCGUCGUCUCAAUCGCUGCUCCAAGAAAGGUAACUUCGCCUCCUCUAACAUUCUUUUUUUUUAUAUGAUGUGUUGUGUUCGAUACUUGAUAUGGAGUUUGUUAUUAAGAAUGUUUGGUUCCCCUGGUCUUAGGCUUUUGCUUUAGUACUGAUUUCCUGUGCGAUUUUUUUAGCAGUAGGCAUGAUUCAGGCAUCAACAAAGUCACUUUAGCAUUAUAUGUUGGUUGUUAUAUUCAUUAGCUUAGUUUUGUAUCUAUGAAGUUAGCUAAUUUGCUACUCGGUGUUGCUCGUAUGUUUUAGCACUGAUUUUCCUUACUUUGUUCUCAUUAGUAAAUCUUUUAGUCUUGUUGUUCAAGCUCAUAAAAAUGAUUAGGAGGUCAUGGGAUUUACUUCAACAAUUACCAAAGUAGUAUCAUUAUUGUUGUUAUUUCUGCAUAUGUUUUCCAGUGAGCUUAGGAAUAUGUUUUGUUUCUCUUGAUUGCUUUUCUUUUCUUCACUUGUCCAACUUAAGUGAACUUGUUUUCUUCUCUGUUUUGAACAUGUCCAGUUGCAGCUCUAUGUUAUUCAUAAUUUGUUAUCUUUAUUUUACACUAGUUAAGUCCUUAGACUGCUACUAAUUCGAAUUUAAGAUAGAUUAUGUAGCCAUCCUUUUGUAUACGUGUCCGUCUUCUAAUAUAUUUACUUGCAAUUUGAGCUUACUGUUGCCUACAAUAUUAUUAAAAAGAGUACUAAUUAAAAUUAUUAUGUCCAUUUGCUCCAUUAUCUUGUGAAAUCUCAUAUUCUCCCUACUAAUUCUUAUCAUAUGUUGUGCAUGAAUGAACCUCCUCGCAUGAGUCCAUUGGGACUCCGUCUCCUAUUGCAUUUCUCCUAAGUUGGGCCAAGCCCAAAAUCCUCUUGAGUCUGCCUCGUUAUGAAAGCUGAAGUGCAGGGCUGGAGACUGAUGUAUAGCUGCCCGGAAGUCCAAAAAGCAGGCUGUAUACACGUUAUUUACAGAGGAAUAUGCAAAAUAUACAAUGCUAUACAGGUCGAAAAGUGUGAAAAUACAGGGCUAAGGCGAAAUACAGUUAUUCGGAAGCAAGAAGUACAUGAAAAGGGCUGAUAUACAUGCCGAUAUACACUGAUAUACAUCAGCUGUAUACCAAAAAACGGGAUUGAGUAAAAUCUCCAGAAAUUACAGCGAAAUUGGCCCAAAAAAGGAGGCCCAAAUUCAAUUUCUAACUUAUUUAAUUGUGUGAUUACUUAUUUAUUUGUUUUGUUUUUUAUUUGCGACUUAAUUUAAUUAAAUUCCCCAAAAGAUAAACCAUAUUCUUUAUGUUACUUUCUUUAAAAAUAAUUCAUUUUUAUCAACUCUUAUGCUUAUUCAAAUAUUUUUUAGUCAAAAACUUUCACUUAUCUUUAAUUAGAUUAAAAUAAUGUCUUGGUUUGUCUACCAAGUUGGUUCGAAUUAUUAUUUCUAAAAAUGACAUAAUAAAUUUUAAUUUUGUUAAAAUCCUAAUUGACCAAGUUGUUUACAAUUUAAGAUCCAAUUUUCCAAAAAUUUAAAAAUUAUUCUUUAUUUAACUAUUUUUUUUAAAAAAGUUAAUCUUAUAAUGUAAAACAUUAUUAUAAAUACUUACUGAAGUCAUUUUCUCAAAAAGGGUUAGUCAAUUAAUAAGAAAUGGUUUUCAUGUUUUAAUUUAUUAAAUUGGUUUAAAAUGAAUUAAAUAAAUUCUAAUUAAUUUAAUUUUAUUAAUAAUCUAAUCACUUGUAUUUCGAGUCGAAUGUAUCAUCUUGGAUCCUUUCCUCUAAAAAAUGAAAUGAAAUAAAAUGCGUCAUUUAUUUAACUAUUUUCUUAAUCAAAUAUAUCAUAAGUUAUUAUUUUUUAUGUUAAAUUAUUAAUUUUAUUUUUUUCUAAAAAAUAGUCAAGUAUAUUUUAGUCAAGUCGUAGGUCAACCGCAUGUUAGCGGACACUUCGAAUGCUUAAACCCUUCUCGAAGUGUAAAUUGAACCCCAAACCUUCUUUGCUAUUUUCAAAUGAUUUUUUCUGUUUAAAUCUUUGAAAAUUAUAAGUUUUCUUAAUUUCUUUAAAAAAUUUAAGUGGUGACUCUUUUUAAGUAUUUCUCAAAUUGUUUUAUACUUAGAACAUUUCAAAAGUGAUUUUUCUAAAGGUUAGGAAAAUUACGGUACAACUGAAAAGGUUUUCAAUAACCAUACAUAGAACUCAAUACUCGAAACUCAACAACUCAGAACUCAAGAACUUCAGUGAGACUACUUAUUUCAAGAAUGUUCAACUUAGAGGGUUAAUGCAAAAUUAUGUGCAUGAGCAACUCAAGUCAAGGACUUCAUGAUACUACUCAUCUCAAGAAUGCUCAACUCAUAAGGUUCAUGCGGAAUUAUGGGAAUGAACAACUCAACUCAAGGACUUCAUGGGUAACAUGUAGUAGUCCCAUGAUUAGGAAUAUAAUCUCAAAAAGGGUUAGGAAUUCAAUACUAAAGACUUAGAACUUGAAGAUACUACUCCUCUCAAAGAUGCUCAAUUUAUGAAGUCCAUGUGGAAUUUAUGGGCAUGAACGACUCGACUCUAGGGUCUACAUAACAAUAUGGAUCUCAUGUAUACGACUCUUCUCAUUCUAAUACUUCCUUCCUCAAAACUUAGCUCAAAUCGAUAGUUGAUCACAAGGUAUUCACAUUGAACUCAAAGACUUUCUUGAACUCUACUCAAAGGAUCUCAUGAUGAUAAUGUAGACUCAUGAAUACCUUAUACUCAUUCUCAUACUCACUUUCUCAAUUCUUGAAACAAGUUAUUUGAAAUUGUAAAAGAUUCCUCAAAAAAAAUCAAAGGGACUUUCUCAAAAUGUUCGAAAGAACUCUCAAGACUUAACUUUUAACUCUACCUUGAAUUUGAAUUAUGAAUUAAAGGUUAUGAUUCAUGCUAUUAAUGAUUUCUAGGUGUUUAGAAGUAGUUUAGAGUAGUUAGAAUCAAAUGGGAGUGAAGAUACACUUCAAAAGGACUCAGACGGGACAAUCGAUGGAAAAUGAGUGGGGGCAGGCGAUCCUGGCGCAUUGCUGACGCAAAAAGUAAGAGUGUCAGCCCCUAAACUUCAAAGACAUGAUAUUAGCGCACUGCUGAGGUGCCGCCCCAGCCCCCACCUGGUGCAUCUCGGGCCCGCUGCCCCAGCCCCUUCCAGAACUCUCCGAUGAAUUUUCUUCUUUGAUUUUUGGCCCUAAUUCGCCAAGAAUCAAAUGAUUUCUUCCCAAUUCACUUAGAUUCAAAUACCCAACAUAAGUACACAAAAAUAUACUAAAAAACAACCCUCAAAUUCAAAGAAUUUAUCUCAAGAACUCAUCAAACACAUCCCAAUUCAAGAACGAAAGCAAAACUUCAAAAACACUCAUCAUGAACUUAAAUCUUUCAAUCUUUAUGGACAAAUUCGAAUAUGUAAAUCAUGAUUGCCGUGUGGAUGAACAAAUCCAACACUAUGGAACUCACAUACCUCUUAGAGAUCAAAUCCUGGGAGAGGGAUUGACUUGAGGAGGACCUGAUGACGAAAGAGUUGGUGCAGGACAUGUAUCAUUGGUCGCUUGUCGGCUGGAUACUGUCGACCAAGGUAAUGGUUUUAAACUUAAGGGACAUGGUAGGGGUCAAGCUUAACCCCAUACACCUAUGGCACACAACCAAGGUGAUGGUUUAAUAUAAAAUAAAAACUUAAGGGGGUUAAUAUUAUAGGAUAAAAAUCUAAAAUCGAAUCAUUUGUAAAAAAAUUAAGGGUCAUUUGUAAAAGGAUUCACCAAACAUCUUCAUUCUCCAACAAUGAUCCUCGUCUUCAAAUUGUGGUUUGUGCCUUUAAAUUGCUAUUGUUGAAUUUGUCCUCCCCUCUCCCCUAUUAAGCUGUAAUUAUGUCGUAGAUUCUGUAUAAAUUCAAUCGAAGGGUCGUUAAGAAGGUAGUAAUCUUUGAUGAAACUCCAACAAAACUUGAAAGUCGGAAGAAUGACAGGAAAAAAUUCUAAAGAGAAGGUGUGACAGAAGUAAAUAAAAAAUGGAAGAACUUAUAUAGAUUUUGGAAAAGAAGCAUCAGUCUUGCCUUGAUAGUGGGCCAUGCUUUUUUACCAAUCACAGGAAGACAAGUGCUCAAAGCAUAAAAGGCGAAGGGACAUGUGUCACGUCAAGAAAUGUCGGAGGACUUCUCAUUUGCUUUCGUCCAAGAAUUGAAAUGUUUUCCAUUUUUCUGUCACAAUUAUUUGAGUACCCAAAAAAAAAAAAGGGACUAUCUAUAUAGGGCAAAACUCAAAGUCGAUAGAUUGGCAAAAGUGACAGGUUAGGCGUGAAUAAGAGAUCGAUGCCACAAUGUGAGCCGNNNNNNNNNNNNNNNNNNNNNNNNNNNNNNNNNNNNNNNNNNNNNNNNNNNNNNNNNNNNNNNNNNNNNNNNNNNNNNNNNNNNNNNNNNNNNNNNNNNNUCAAAAAUCUUUCUCUGAAAAGAGAUGGUACUCAAAACUGCUCAAAACUCUUAUGGAAAUCGGUGUUUCCUCUCAUCUUAAAUAUGGAAAAAUUUACUCUUGGGAAUACUUAGUUCCCAUAAAUCAUUUUAAAGAAAAUGAAAUCAACUCUACUCUUUCUCAAACUCAGUUGUUCAAGUCUUAAAACAAGUUUAGAAAAAAUUGUAAAAGACUUCUCAAAAUAGGGUUCAUGCCGAAUUAUGGACGUGAACAACUCAAAUUCAAGGUUUUCAAUAACUAUACAUAGAACUCAAUACUCGAAACUCAACAACUCAGAACUCAAGAACUUCAGUGAGACUACUUAUUUCAAGAAUGUUCAACUUAGAGGGUUAAUGCAAAAUUAUGGGCAUGAGCAACUCAACUCAAGAACUUCAUGAUACUACUCAUCUCAAGAAUGCUCAACUCAUAAGGUUUAUGCGGAAUUAUGGGAAUGAACAACUCAACUCAAGGACUUCAUGGGUAACAUGUAAUAGUCCCAUGAUUAGGAAUAUAAUCUCUAAAGGGUAAGGAAUUCAAUACUAAAGACUUAGAACUUGAAGAUACUACUCCUCUCAAAGAUGCUCAAUUUAUGAAGUCCAUGCGGAAUUUAUGGGCAUAAACGACUCGACUCUAGGGUCUGCAUAACAAUAUGGAUCUCAUGUAUACGAAUCUUCUCAUUCUCAUACUUACUUCCUCAAAACUUAGCUCAAAUCGAUAGUUGAUCACAAGGUAUUCACAUUGAACUCAAAGACUUUCUUGAACUCUACUCAAAGGAUCUCAUGAUGAUAAUGUAGACUCAUGAAUACCUUCUCCUCAUUCUCAUACUCACUUGCCCAAUUCUUGAAACAAGUUAUUUGAAAGUGUAGAAGAUUCCUCAAAAAAAAUCAAAGGGACUUUCUCAAAAUGUUCGAAAGAACUCUCAAGACUUAACUCUUAACUCUACCUUGAAUUUGAAUUAUGAAUUAAAGGUUAUGAUUCAUGAUAUUAAUGAUUUCUAGAUGUUUAGAAGUAGUUUAGAGUAGUUAGAAUCAAAUGGGAGUGAAGAUACACUGCAAAAGGACUCAGACGGGACAACCGAUGGAAAAUGAGUGGGGGCAGGCGAUCCUGGCGCAUUGCUGGCGCGAGGCGCCAGCCCCUAAAAUUCAGAGACAUGAUAUUGGUGCACUGCUGAGGCGCCGCCCCAGCCCCCACCUGGUGCAUCUCGGGCCCGCUGCCCCAGCCCCUUCCAGAACUCUCCGAUGAAUUUUCUUCUUUGAUUUUUGGCCCUAAUUCGCCUAGAAUCAAAUGAUUUCUUCCCAAUUCACUUAGAUUCAAAUACCCAACAUAAGUACACAAGAAUAUACUAAAAAACAACCCUCAAAUUCAAAGAAUUUAUCUCAAGAACUCAUCAAACACAUCCUAAUUCAAGAACGAAAGCAAAACUUCAAGAACACUCAUCAAGAACUUAAAUCUUUCAAUCUUUAUGGACAAAUUUGAAUAUGUAAAUCAUGAUUGCCGUGUGGAUGAACAAACCCAACACUAUGGAACUCACAUACCUCUUAGGGAUCAAAUCCUGGGAGAGGGAUUGACUUGAGGAGGACCUGAUGGCAAAAGAGUUAGUGCAGGACAUGUAUCAUUGGUCGCUUGUCGGCUGGAUACUGUCGACCAAGGUAAUGGUUUUAAACUUAAGGGACAUGGUAGCUUAACCCCAUACACCUAUGGCACACAACCAAGGUGAUGAUUUAAUAUAAAAUAAAAACUUAAGAGGGUUAAUAUUAUAGGAUAAAAAUCUAAAAUCGAAUCAUUUGUAAAAUAUUAAGGGUCAUUUGUAAAAGGAUUCACCGAACAUCUUCAUUCUCCAACAAUGAUCCUCGUCCUCAAAUUGUGGUUUGUGCCUUUAAAUUGCUAUUGUAGACUUUGUCCUCCCCUCUCCCCUAUUAAGCUGUAAUUAUGUCGUAGAUUCUGGAUAAAUUCAGUCGAAGGGUCGUUAAGAAGGUGGUAAUCUUUGAUGAAACUCCAGCAAAACUUGAAAGUCGGAAGAAUGACAGGAAAAAAUUCUAAAGAGAAGGUGUGAUGGAAGUAAAUAAAAAAUGGAAGAACUUAUAUAGAUUUUGGAAAAGAAGCAUCAGUCUUGCCUUGAUAGUGGGCCAUGCUUUUUUACCAAUCACAGGAAGACAAGUGCUCAAAGCAUAAAAGGCGAAGGGACAUGUGUCACGUCAAGAAAUGUCGGAGGACUUCUCAUUUGCUCUCGUCCAAGAAUUGAAAUGUUUUCCAUUUUUCUGUCACAAUUAUUUGAGUACCCAAAAAAAAAAUAAGGGACUAUCUAUAUAGGGCAAAACUCAAAGUCGAUAGAUUGGCAAAAGUGACAGGUCAGGCGUGAAUAAGAGAUCGAUGCCACAAUGUGAGCCCACCUAGCUCUGAAGAUGCAUCAACAGAUAUGAGACACAAAUAAAAUAAGGUAAGUUUGAAGUUCAACCAUUACAAGAAAGUUCAGGAUUAGUGUCAACUGUUACAGAGCAGCAAUAAUGAGUAUGAAUAGGUUUUUAUUAACUAUAGUUUUUAAACAUUAGCGGCUAAAUAUAGUUAUUUCCUUAAUCUUCCCUUUUUAUCUGCUAAUUUUUUAAGCAGUUCUAAGAAAAUUGAUAGUUAAUUACUAUUUACUGCUAAUGGUAUUGAUUCAUAUUAGGUUUAAGCUGGUUUUCACAAUACGUGGGAGUAAAAAAAUAUUAGUCUAACUCCUAUGAACAAAUAGGAAAUUUCCUCGUUCACGAUUGAUUUGCUUAUUUGCGACAACAAUUAAAGAGCAAUUUAUAUGGUUAUAUAUACUUUAGUAGAAUAAUUUAAUUUUAAUAUAUGAAUAACAUCACCUAUGGUGAUUUCAGUAAGUUUCUGCCUUAUCUUUGUGAAAAGUAAAAAUAUGUGGAUCAAUUCAUAGAAAAUGAAGAAGGAAGGCGAAAAUAUAUGUUUAUGCAAUAUUAACCCUAGUGUUUCAUUUGAUUGAAAUCUCUUGCCACCAACACUUUACUUUUUCCAUUCAUUUUUACUUACAUAUCUAUUUAAAAUAAUUAUUAUCAUAUUAUAAGUAUAAGUGAAAUCUAUUUUUGAAAUGAUAGACUUAACAUCGAAACUACUAAUUCAAUGGACAACGUUGAUGCCUGAUGUUUUAGCAAAAUUAGGAAGAAACUACUUCAUUUGAGGCUAAAAGAAUAAGAAAUGGAAUUAUAAAGAAGAAAUAUCUUACCCCAAUCAUGUGCCUUUUUUUAUUUGCUUAUUAUUACUGUCUCUCCACAUCUUUAUCUAUUUAUUUUAUUAGAAAAAAUAAUCCACAAUGUGUGUAUUUAAAUUCUCGCUCGAAUGAAAACACAAAAGAAACUAUUAAAAAGACAAAAUAAAUGAAAAUUCUCGAACACUAUAUAUAGAAGAUUUUUGUAUUAAGAAAAGUUCAAUGAUAAUUGCAUAUUUCUUUGUUCUCUUCUUUCUUUCUUUAAUAGAAACUCAGUAGCAAAAUUCCAAUGCUAAGAACUUCGGCAAAACAUAUCAAUGUACUGGGGAUGAAUCAUUUAUGAAAAUUUUAAAUGAUCUCAAAUUGUCACAGAAAAGAGAUCCCCAAGAAUUUAUAAGGAUUGAAUGGUUGUCAAUUAUGACUGAAGAAACAUGAAG
rnacentral:lncRNA from 1 species